rnacentral:rRNA from 1 species
GCGGUGGAGCAUGUGGUUAAUUCGAAGCAACGCGAAGAACCUUACCAGGUCUUGACAUCCCUGACAACCAAGAGAUUGGCGUUCCCCUCGGGGGACAGGGUGACAGGUGGUGCAUGGUUGUCGUCAGCUCGUGUCGUGAGAUGUUGGGUUAAGUCCCGCAACGAGCGCAACCCUCGCCUCUAGUUGCCAGCAUUCGGUUGGGCACUCUAGAGGGACUGCCGGCGACAAGUCGGAGGAAGGUGGGGAUGACGUCAAAUCAUCAUGCCCCUUAUGACCUGGGCUACACACGUGCUACAAUGGGCGGUACAAAGGGCUGCGAACCCGCGAGGGGGAGCGAAUCCCAAAAAGCCGCUCUCAGUUCGGAUUGCAGGCUGCAACUCGCCUGCAUGAAGCCGGAAUCGCUAGUAAUCGCGGAUCAGCAUGCCCGCGGUGAAUACGUUCCCGGGCCUU